UGAGAUCCUGACCUUUGCUCAAAGAAAAAAAAAACUAAGAUCCUGAACGAGCUGCUCCGUUUCCUGCGGCGUUGCCGCUAGAACAAAUUCCCCCAAGAUCCAGUAGGAGGAGCAUGGCAGAAGCGGCCGUCGGCGGGCCUCACCUCCCUGAGGAGAUCGUCACCUGGGAGAUUCUCAUCCGCCUGCCGCCGAAGCCCCUCGUCCGCUGCCGCGCCGUCUGCCGCUCCUGGCACCGCCGCCUCACCUCCGACGCCAAAUUCCUCUUCGCCCACCACCGCCGCCAGCCCUCGCUCCCGCUCGUCACCACCGAAGACACCCAUGAAAGAAGGAUCGACGCCCUCGACCACAGCACCGGCGAGCGGCGCCCCGUCGCGCGGGCGGCCCGGACCGCAGCCGACGAGCACUUCGAUGUGCUCGCCUCCUGCGACGGCCUCCUUAUCCUCGUCGCCUACGGCGGCGUCUACAUCUGCAACCCGGCGACUCGCCAGCACGCGCCCCUCCCGCUGCUUCACGUCUACUGCAUCGCCGGGUUAUACUUCCACCGCCCGUCGGGGUCCUACCGAGUUCUGUGCUGCUUGAAGACAACCGAGGACGGCCAGUUCCGUGCCGUAUACCAGGUGUACACACUCGGGUCCGGCGACCUCAGGUGCAUCGGGAAGGCUCUCGAGCCGUGGACGUCCGGAGAUCUAGCGCGGGCGAUGCCGAUGAUGGUGUCAUUUCAACCGCACGGCCUGGCAGGCGGCAGGCUUUACUGGCAGCCCAUUAAGUUGCCUGGUGCUGGUGGCAACGGCAAGGUGAACAACAUGCUGGUGUUCGACACCAUGGCCGAGUCCUUCCAGCAUCUGCUUUCGCCAGUCGAGGGCGCCUUUCUUGAGCCGUUUGAGAUGAACGGCACUCUUGGAUUGUACGACUACCAUGGCAGCACGGCUGAUCUCUGGGUUCUAGAGGAUCACGAGAGCUGGGCCUGGUCGUUGAAGCACCGGAUCAAGUUGCAGGUGAUGGCCUUCUCUCUGGUGCCGGACAUCCAAGGAGGCGUGCUCCUUCUUUCUGAAAAUGAGGAAUCAGGCCUUCUAUGGCAAUAUCUGCAGCAUGUUUCUGGUGCCGAUGGUAGUAUCUCCACACGGUAUGAAUGGAGCGCUUAUCUGAAGCUUAGGAGACAUAGGCUCAGAGAAAGUCUUGUUCAGCAUUCCUUCUUCUCGAUGGAAGGUAACAAUGGUGGUGGUGUGGAUGGAAAACCGUUGUUCGAUGGGUUGUCAACUGUGAAGGUGCUUACUGCUGAUAUUUCGGAGCUGCACUAAAGGAAUCCAUGAUGGACAAGUCCGUUGCAUUGUCGCGCGAGUGAGUCACUGGUGAUAAUGUUUAGUACUCCCUCCGAUACAUCCAUUUGAGCGACAAGUAAUAUGGAUCGGAGGGAGUACUAUCUACUAUGUCUUUGCUAUCUAAGUCUGUAUGGUGCAAAGGACCCAAUAAGCAAAAGAUGAGUAACCUGAUACCAUGCCUCAUGUUUCUGGUGUUUCCCCCCUCUUCACAUGAUAGGGAUGCAGAAUAAAGUGGUUGUCAUAUCAGGCUUAUUUAGUUUCUGCACUAUAAACUUUGUAAAACGGUCUGCCAUUUUUGCUACUCAUUUGUGUGCAAAAGAUGCAACAUUUGCUAGGGCUACUUUGUCCU